CCUACGGGGCGCUGCAGUGGGGAAUAUUGGGCAAUGGGCGCAAGCCUGACCCAGCAACGCCGCGUGAAGGAAGAAGGCCCUCGGGUUGUAAACUUCUUUUAUCAAGGACGAAAAAAAUGACGGCACUUGAUGAAUAAGCCACGGCUAACUACGUGCCAGCAGCCGCGGUAAUACGUAGGUGGCAAGCGUUAUCCGGAUUUACUGGGUGUAAAGGGCGUGUAGGCGGGACUGCAAGUCAGAUGUGAAAACCAUGGGCUCAACCCAUGGCCUGCAUUUGAAACUGGCAAACUGGAGUGUGUGAGAGGAUAGUGGAAUUCCAGGUGUAGGAGUGAAAUCCGUAGAUAUCUGGAGGAACAUCAGUGGCGAAGGCGACUAUCUGGCACAUAACUGACGCUGAGGAGCGAAAGCGUGGGUAGCAAACAGGAUUAGAUACCCCUGUAGUC
rnacentral:rRNA from 1 species